CCUGUCACAUCUGGAGGACAAUGUUUCAUUGGCUAUUUGUUUCUUCUGGAUUUGGCUGACAGAUGAUGUACAAACACUGAUCUUGUUAGACAGUUUUGAUCCAUAAGCAUCUUCUUUCAGAAAAAUUACAAUUUUAUCACAACAGGAGGCUCCUAAUAUAAUGCAUAUCUUUCUCUUUAUAAACUCUCAGCAGCGAAACAGUUAAUACAGUGAAAAAGAAAAAAGCUUAGAACGCAUCCAAACAUGACUAGACAGGUAGCCAAUCACUGAAGACCCUAGUCCAUAAAUUGCUCGUCUGUGAGGUAAUCUUCCUCUUUCUCGCUGCUCUCAGCUAAAGAUACGUAUUGCAUUUAUUGCUUAUUGUUAUAUUAUCAUUGUUACCGACUCUGUGAUAUAUAUAUAUACCUCAUUAUACAUAUUUAUAGCAUUUUUCUUUAAGUCACCUUCACCAUAUCCAUUACCAGUGACUGUUACUUAAUUUACUGUUAACACUUUCCUUAUAGUUCAACCCUACUCAUUCAUCUUACAUUCCCCCUCCCCCCCCCCCCUCCUCCAGAUAAUAAUUCAUUAUCUCCACUGUAUCCCUUUAUUAUUACGGUCCCUCAUACCUAAAUACAGUUUAUCUGAACUCCGAGACUCUGCCGCUCUCACCCGUUGACAGCUAUGCUUCCUUAUCAGCGUUUGUAAUCCCGGCUGUCGCGAGAUCUCGCUCCCACUCAGUGAACGGAGUCUCCUCACACAACUGCCAGCAUUCUUAUCAGCUGUUCGCGCUCAACUGUUCCUGUCAGAAUUUCCUCACAGCUAUCUGUACUACACCCUGCCUCCAUUUACACCUCCACCGAAGGCUCCCUUAAAUUCUUAUACUGCCAACUAGUAGUUAUUAACAAGAGACUACCUUAUUUGAAUUAACUCCAUCAUUACCAUAUUCCUAACUUUACUAUAGACUUCCACCUAACAUAUUAUAUUCACUCUGCUCCGCUCUAUAUUAUAAUGGAAAAUACCUCACCCACCAAUAUGGAGGUUAACCCUUUGGAGACAGAUAAUUUUGACCCUAGGACACAAGACCGUAUUCAGUCUAUGGUGGACAUGUCCAUAUCUAAAUCAAUUAAUACAGCAAUGUCAUCUGCUAUAUCAGUACUUAAUGAUACAGUUGCCAGGUCCAUUUCGUUGGUUAUGGCACAUAAUAAACCAAAUAUUUUCUCUACACCCUCAGAUCAAUAUUGGUCUGCAGAGGAAUCUACUGCUCAAUUAGCAAUGGGUCAUAAGCAAGCCGGUAAACGCUUAAAGAAACAAAAAUUCUGUUCGGACGACCGUAAAACCCGUAAACAUAAACCAAUACCUGAAACCAGGGUAGGUCAGGCCCAUUAUAGCAUGUCACCUACUUCCAGUGGCCCUGAAUUCUGUGCUACUAGUUCACAGACCAGACCCUCUGUCCGAGAGGAAGCGUCUAAUAUUCGGACUCAGACAGCCCAUAAAAGGGCGAAACCGGACGUAUAUUUGACCCACCAUGAUUCAGAUUCAUAUUCUGAUAUUUCCGAUGAUGACCUAUCUAUUGAGAUGGAAGAUAUUGGGUCUGAAGAAGGAGAAAUUGUUGACCCUCCUGCUGUUGAGACUUCAACAGAAAAAACCACUCCAAUUAUUUUGGACACUCAGGGUAACCCUUACUUUGAGCCUGACUCCAUUGCACACCCAAGAUCCUCAGAUUGGGUACCUCAUCCACAGAUUGCCAAGUAUCUAACCUCAAAGGUUAAAAAAGCACUUGACAGAUCCGCUCGUAAUAAAUUACGUGCAGAGUGCCCAAGGCCUUCUCUCCCAGACCUAGCAGCAGUAACCCCCGAACUGGACCCAGUUUUAGUGAAAUAUAUAUUAAAGACGGGUAAAAACCCUAAAAAAGGACUUGAUCGUUCCCUCAAAAGCGUUCAAGAUAAAUACUUGGACAUUUUAGGCCCCCUCUCUAAGAUCUUUGAUAUAUCAGAACAAUCAAUGGCAUCAGGACAACCAAUGGACGCCUCCAUUAUUCAUGGCUGGGUCCAAAGGGCCAUAUGUUUCUUCGGUAACGGUAAUGCUGCAAUGACCGCUGAAAGGCGAAGGACAAUUCUGAUGAAACUGGACCCCCAGUUAACUAAUUUAGCUACUGCAGAAUUUGGACCUUCUACCGAAGGUCUCUUAUUUGGUGACGGAUUUGUCAAAGAAAUAGGAAAAUUUGUAGGAAUAUUUACUUCUUUGGAUAAGGCCCAAAAUUCACUAAGAAAGGUCUUCCAGAGUAGAGUUUUUGGCAGGGCUGGAAAAGGGAGGAGCCGUUUUUCCAGCCGCUCAGCAACAUCCAGAGGAUACUUCAAAGGCUCCUACAACCAGGAAAGACCACAGAAUCCCACCUCUACUUAUCAAGCAUCGCCCUUCUUCCCAUCCCGAGCCAGACCUUGGAGGGCAAGAGGAAACAGAGGAUUUCCCAGAUCCAGACCUUCCUCAGGUGAGUCCAAUUCCCCUAUUUUCUUCCCUCCUUCCUCUCGGGGGAAGACUCCAACAUUUUUCCCAAGCUUGGGCUUCAAUAACCUCAGACUCAUGGGUACUGAACACAAUAUCAGGUUACAUGAUAUAAUUCAUUUCCCCCCCAAUUCAAAUCUCUCCACCCCAUCCCAUUCAUUUCUCCACCCAAGACAAAGAUCUCAUCAAUCAGGAAUUGAUGGAUUUAUCUUCAAAGAAUGCCAUCAUUCAAGUACCCCUUCAAUCCCCAGGCUUCCUCAGCAACAUCUUUCUAGUAAAAAAGAAAGAUGGGGGAUACAGACCUGUAAUCAAUUUACGAUAUCUCAACAACUUCGUAGUAUACCACCAUUUCAAAAUGGAGGGUAUUCAUCUCCUAAGAGACCUCCUUCUCCUAAACGAUUGGCUAGUAAAAGUGGAUCUGAAAGAUGCCUAUCUUACAGUCCCUAUUCAUCCAUCUCACCAACUUUACCUGCAAUUCCUAUGGCAAAAUCAGAAAUGGCAAUUUACCUGCCUCCCAUUCGGCCUCUCAUCGGCCCCCUGGUGCUUCACCAAAAUCUUGAAGCCAAUAAUAUCUCUACUGAGGAGCAGAGGUGUUCGUCUUAUCAUCUACUUAGACGACAUCCUCAUCAUGGCUCAAUCAAAAAUUCUGAUCCAACGACAUCUUCAAUGGACAUUAUCCCUUCUAACCAACUUGGGAUUUUCUAUCAAUCUCAAGAAAUCAGUAUUGACCCCGUCAAGGGAAGUAGAAUUUCUAGGAUUUUCCAUCAACACUCAGACAACCACGCUGAGUUUACCCUCCAAGAAAUUACAAUUGAUCAGAAAAGAAAUUCGUUCUACUCUGAACAAAGAUCUAAUAUCCCUAAAAAGCAUCGCUCGUAUUGUGGGUCUUUUAUCUGCGUCCAUACAAGCAAUUUUCCCAGCCCCCUUACAUUACAGGGCUCUUCAACGCCUCAAGAUUCAGCAUCUGAGGGAAGGCCUUGCCUAUUCGGACUUCAUACCCCUAUCGAUAGAGGCCAGGGAGGAACUCCUCUGGUGGCUUGGCCAUAUCCAGACCUGGAACGGCAAAGCAAUCUUCAAUUGCAACCCAGAUCUGAUCAUAGAGUCAGACGCCAGUCUUGUAGGCUGGGGAGCUCGUUGCGGAUCCCUUUCUACGGGAGGAAAAUGGUCAGAACAAGAAGGUUCCCUUCACAUAAAUGCAUUGGAAUUAUUAGCAGGUUUCUUCGCCAUCAAGAGCUUUGCAAAAUUCAGAUCGCAUUGCUGCAUUUUACUUCGCUUGGACAAUAUAUCAGCAGUCCAAUACAUAAACAAGUUAGGAGGUACCACUUCGAAAAUUCUCUCAGAUAUUACAAUCAAUAUCUGGAACUUCUGUUUCGACAGGAAUAUUAUCUUGAAAGCAGAAUACUUACCUGGUCUAUCCAACGAUGUGGCAGACUGGAACUCCCGCUACCUAUCAGACCACAGCGACUGGACACUAGAUCCUGCCAUUUUCUCAUCAAUAAAUUCCCAUUGGGGUCCUCUAUACAUGGACCUAUUUGCCUCUCGACUGAAUCGCCAAUUACCUCUGUUCUUCAGUUGGCGUCCGGACCCAGAAGCUCUAGGAGUAGAUGCAUUCCUACAGAUUUGGCCGGAAACGACACUCUACGCCUUCCCUCCAUUUGCCUUGAUUCCAAGAGUGUUAUCUCAAGUCAUCUAUCAGAAAUCCACAAUAGUCUUGAUAAUUCCCCAUUGGCCAUCCCAAUCUUGGUUCCCCCAGAUUCUAUCUCUCCUCAUAGACUUCCCACUCCUUCUUCCCAAUCAUCCAUCCAUUCUCCUAGAUCCUUCAGGGAAUCAACACCCUCUUGUUCUUUCUGGAGGCCUCAACCUGGUAGCUUGCCUCGUAUCGAAUCAACAACCCCUAAUAUUGAAAUUUCGCAAUCAGCUAAAGACAUAUUAUCCGAAGCCUGGGCUCCGGGCACCAGAAAGGCUUACAGAUCAGCCUGGCAAUUUUGGGUUCAUUGGUGCUCUCAACGACACCUGGAUCCCUAUAACUCAUCUAUCUCAAAUAUCCUAAAUUAUUUAUCUGAAGCCUUCGACUCUGGCAAAGCCUAUAGGACUAUUAAUUUAUAUAGAUCUGCCAUCUCCUCAGAACAUAACCUCAUUAAUUCACUCCCCAUCGGUAAACAUCCUCUCAUAUGUAGAUUACUCAAAGGCAUUCGAUUUAAAAGACCCCCUCUUCCUAGAUAUCGCUCUACCUGGGACGUAUCCCUUAUCCUCAAUUUAUUCUCUUCUUGGGAAGACAAUGACUCACUUUCAUUAAAAUUCCUCUCUUAUAAACUAACAGUUCUCCUCUGCUUAAUCUCAAUCAAAAGAGUAUCCGAUGUUAAGGCUCUGGACAUAUCUUCCAGAUCCUUUACACCUCAAGGAGUUACCUUCAGGAUUUCACGCCGUACAAAAACCAAUAUUCAAUCAGUUUUCUAUCCGACUUUUCUUCAACAUCCCAAAUUAUGCCUUGUCAGAUGUCUUAAAUCUUACGAAUCCAAGACCUUUUCUCUCAGAUCCCCUAAUAACUCUCAACUUCUCAUUUCUUUCCGAAAACCACACCUUCCUGUAUCCUCUCCCACCUUAGCUAGAUGGGUCAGACACACCAUGUCUCUUGCAGGUAUUGACACUUCCCAAUUCGGUGCCCACUCCUUAAGAAGUGCCAUGUCCACAAAAACUAUCCAAACAGGUGGCUCACUUAAUGAUCUCCUGAAGGCCGCAGAUUGGUCUUCAGAAUCUACUUUCAAAGCCUUUUAUUUUAGACCAGAAUCUCACAUAUCUAUGUCAGUGUUGUAAUCAAUUGUAUAGCUUUAAACUUGCAUUAUAUUAGGAGCCUCCUGUUGUGAUAAAAUUUGAGAUUUUCCUAGUUAUUAUGACGGAAAAUAUGGAUUUUAUAAACAACAGGAGGCGAGUAAUAUCCCUCCCUAAUUCCCUACCCUAUUAUCACUCUUUUUGUCUUAUUUCAGCUUACUGAUGGAAUCCACAAAGCUUCACUUUCAUAGAUUUGAGUCUAAUUCUUCUACAUCCCGUUCCUACUGUUCCGAAUACCUAUUGAGAAGUCAUCAAAGUGUUCGAAGUCUUCAAUUUCUACUUAUGAACUUUGGUUUAUCUUCAUGCAUCGAGAAAGAGGAAGAUUACCUCACAGACGAGCAAUUUAUGGACUAGGGUCUUCAGUGAUUGGCUACCUGUCUAGUCAUGUUUGGAUGCGUUCUAAGCUUUUUUCUUUUUCACUGUAUUAACUGUUUCGCUGCUGAGAGUUUAUAAAGAGAAAGAUAUGCAUUAUAUUACUCGCCUCCUGUUGUUUAUAAAAUCCAUAUUUUCCGUCAUAAUAACUAGGAAAAUCUCAAAUUUUAGCACACUUUUAGUAUCUUCAUGCAAGGUGGUUCCCCGUGUCACAAAGGUCAUGAAGUGACACGUAAGGAUCAUGGCACUAAGUGUUGGCCCAAGUGUUUCCCAACCAGGGUGCCUCCAGCUGUUGCAAAACUACAACUCCCGGCAUACUGGGAGUUGUAGUUUUGCAACAGAUGGAGGCACCCUGGUUGGGAAACACUGCCUUGGCCAGACAACAGCCCCAAAAUAAUCCAUUAAUGAACUUAUGGGCUGUUCUAAAGUCAGAAAUCAGAAAAAGAACAUAAACCAACAGUAACUGAUUAAAGAACUUACCAGAGCUAAGGGUGCAUGCACACCAUGUUAAAAACCGUAUGGAACUGUCUAGAAAACUGUAUGAAUUGACUUAACAUUGUAAACCGUAUGUCAAACGCAUCAUCCGGUUUAGUCCGUUUUGCGUCUUAUAAGGUUUUGUCCGUUUUUUUUUUCCCGUACCCAAAACUGCAGUCUACCACGGUUUUUGGUCUGGGUGAAAAACUUUAUUAAACCAUAUAAGUUUUUUUUUUUUUUUAACAUGGAGUCAAUGGGAACCGUACAGAACCGUAUGUGCGUACGGUUCCAUCCGGUUUUCAACAUACGGUUUUUGACUUUGCACAGUUUUUUUCUUGGAACUUCAAUCAAACAAGUGAAGCUUUAUUCCAAAUGGAGUGAAAAGUUUAAAACUUAUAAGUUUUUUUCUUAAAAAACGGAUACAACCGGAGAUCAUUUUUCAAACCGUAUACGGUUUUCAACCGUAUACAGGUUAAAAUUUGUACACACGUUUUGAUACAGUUUAGUCAGGUUUUGAGGAAUCCGUUUUUUAUCAAAAACCUGAUACGGGAAGUGUAUUGCAAAAACAUGGUGUGAACCCAGCCUAAGACACCCAGUGACUGGAUGACUGAACACUGCAAGGAAGUUGUUCUCUUUGAAAGUGAGUAAAGGGUCAUAUAAAAAAUAUAACUUCUAUCAGAACAUGUUCUAUAAAGAACAUGUAAAAUUAAGUUUCUUUAGUAUUAUUUUAUAUUCCUGUAUUAUAAUGCAAGGCAAACCAACAAUUAAAAAUGUUCUCUCAAAACAUUUCUAUUAAUUUGGCCAACACUGUAGUAUAAUCUUUUGGCCUAAAGACUAAGGGAAAGAUUUAUCAAAACCUGUGUAGAGGAAGAGUGGAGCAUUUGGUCCUAGCAACCAAUCAGAUCGCUCCUUUCAUUUUCAAAAAGGCCUCUGGAAAAUGAAAGUAGUAAUCUGAUUGGUUGCUAUGGGCAACUGCUUCACUUCCCCUCUGCACAGGCCAAUGAUCAGGCAAAUGAAUGAACAAACCAACACAGAAUAAAUUGAACACAUUGCCGGGAUAAGAAGAUUAUAAAAGGAGGGUGAUACCCUACUCAAAGUGCAAGAUUUUAUUCAGCACAAGAUAACAGUGGUAAAGAAGGGAUUUAGCUGGUUGCAAUGACCAAAUGCCCCACUGUUUGUCCGCACUGGAUUUUGCCCUUGAAUUUCUCGGUCUCCUGGCCACAACUAAGGGAACAGGUGUCUGUGUCAGCAGAGAAAGAAUUAUCCCUCUCGAAUGAAGGAAAUUGCAACCGCAUCACAGGGCACAAACAAAUAUACAAAUGCUGGAAACCUUGGCUUGUGUUUUGCAAUACAAUAAGAGGCUCGAAAACCCCAAUAAGGAAAACAACAAGGUACCUUGGUUCUUGAGAAUACAAACAGAGGAAGUGUGUGUUUGUGGU